rnacentral:rRNA from 1 species
UACGUAGGUGGCAAGCGUUGUCCGGAAUUAUUGGGCGUAAAGCGCGCGUAGGCGGUUAUCUAAGUCGGAUGUGAAAGCCCUCGGCUUAACUGAGGAAGUGCACCCGAAACUGGAUAGCUAGAGUACGAAAGAGGGUCGCGGAAUUCCCGGUGUAGAGGUGAAAUUCGUAGAUAUCGGGAGGAACACCGGUGGCGAAGGCGGCGACCUGGGUCGAGACUGACGCUGAGGCGCGAAAGCGUGGGGAGCAAACAGG